AAACUGGGAUUAGAUACCCCACUAUGCCUAGCCAUAAACUUAGAUGGUAAAUUACUUAUACCAUCCGCCCGGGAACUACGAGCAUUAGCUUAAAACCCAAAGGACUUGGCGGUGCUUAAUAACCCCCUAGAGGAGCCUGUUCUA
rnacentral:rRNA from 1 species